AAAUAAAAAAUUUUAUGAUUUAGAAAAUUUAUUUAAAGUUUAUUUUACAUAUAAAUUUUAGUGUUAAUUAUUAUUUUAAUAAUAAGUAAUAAGAUAUUUUGUAGUAAUUAAUAUUAAAAAUUUAAGAAAUUAAGAUUUAGUAAUAUUAAAAUUAAUAACAAAUUUUGUGCCAGCAGUUGCGGUUAUACAAAAAUUAAAUUAAAUUUUUUUAGUAAUUAAUUAAUAAUUUAUAUUUAUAUUUUAAAUUUUAGAUUAUUAGGUGAAAUUUUAAUUUAAUUAAAAUUUAUUAUAAUUUUAUGAUUUAAUAAAUUUUAUAAAAGACUAGGAUUAGAUACCCUAUUAUUAAAUUUUAAAUUUAUUAUACUAAAAUAGUAGAUAAUGUUUAUUGAAACUUAAAUAAUUUGGCGGUAUUUUAGUUUAUUUAGAGGAAUCUGUUUAAUAAUUGAUAGUCCACGAAUAAAUUUACUUAAUUUUUAAUUUUGUAUAUCGUUGUUAUAAAAAUAUUUUUUUAUAAAAAUAAUAUUUAAAAAUUUUUAAUUAAAAUUAAAUCAAAUCAAGAUGCAGAUUAUAAUUAAGAAUAUAAUGGAUUACAAUAAUUUUUAUUUAAAUGAAUAUUAAUUUUAACAAUUAAUUGAAGGUGGAUUUAAAUGUAAUUUUAUUUAGAUUAAUAAAAUGAUUUAAUAUUGAAAUAUGUACAUAUUGCCCGUCGCUUUCAUAUAUUUAUAAAAUGGGAUAAGUCGUAACAAAGUAGGGGUACUGGAAAGUGUUCCUAGAAAGUU
rnacentral:ncRNA from 1 species